ACCGAUUGUUUCGAUUGUCUGUCAACCUUUCAUUCACCUCAGUGCUGCGCUAACUGCGGAAGGAGAAAGGUAUGGCUCUUGGUUUCUCGCUCUUUCCUCUCGCAUCGAAAAUUGCUCGCUGAUCUGUAUACCUGCAGCUCUUCCAGGUGCAGACGUGUGUCUUGUGCUGGUGAACGUCCUGUCUGCAGCCAGGUUGGUGGUGCCGUGUUGCAAGCUCUGACGUCAGGAAGAGCCAAAUAGAGGGUAUCUACAACCAGUACUGGGUGUGCUGCUGCUGUACAAGUGUCACAAGCCAGCUCCACCAGUGUAUUGUCUAGUCCAGGAUGCAUUGCUGUACGACUUGUAUGUCUUUGUCAAUAAAUAAAUGACUAUUCUUUUAUAUAUGUGAAAUAAAUAGUGUAAAAUAAAUUAUUUGGUGGUAAAAAAAAAAAAAAAGCCAGGAUUAACUCCCUAAAUAAACUUUCUGGUAAAAAAGCCAGGAUUAACCCCCUAAAUAAAUAAACUUUCUGGUAAAAGAGCCAGGAUUAACCCCCUAAAACUUUUCUGGUAAAAAAGCCAGGACAACUUGGUAAAAAAGCCAGGAUAACUGAGUUUAAGGUACAAUUUGCACAUAGAAGCCCCGUCCGAGCGACUCUGGUGUCGCUCGGACGGGGCUUCUAUGUGCAAAUUGUAUCUUAAACCCCUAAAAAUAUUUUUUUAGGGGGUUAAUCCUGUACUCCCAGAAAGGUUAUUUAUUUGCAGAAGAUAUAGUAGACAAGAUAGUAUAUUGAAUUUUUAUUGUUUUACUGCAUUUUUCCAGUGUAUGGUAAGUUAAUAAAUAGGAUAAACAUG